rnacentral:lncRNA from 1 species
UGCAGCAUGCACUGGUGGCGCCACCGUUUCGACCGCCGCCGCGCUUGGCCCUCUCGCUGCGUCGGGAUGCCCAAGUUUAGGGUUUGGCGCAUCCGGCAUGACAGCUAGGGUUUCGCCCAUAGGAGGAGCGCAGGCGUCGCGGCGGGAGGUGGCAUCAAUGAGGCAUCACGGAGGAUUGAGGAGAGGGAGGGGGUCGUCAGGCCUCACAUAUAGGCCGCGCCAUCACCUGGUGCCCCGCCGUCGUCGCUUGAGGGAAAGGGAGGGAGGGAGGGAGGAGGAGGAGGAAGAAGAAGAAGAAGAAGAAGAGGAGGAGGAGGAGGAGGAGGAGGGCGGCCGCGGCGCGCCGCUCGCGCCCAUCGCCGUCGCGGUCGCCCCUGGUGGCGGCGUCAGGAGGAGGGAGGAGUGAAGAGAGAAGGGACGGGAGAGAGAGCCCGAGAUUUUUUUUCCGUGGAAGAGGGACGUGGCCGAUUUGUGUCCACAGGAGGAAGAGGCUGAGGUGGACCAACGGGAGGAGGAGGAGGAGGUGAGGUGGCGCUGAGAUGGCCCAAUCAGAGAAUUUUGUAGGGUUUGGCGCAUCCGGCAUGACAGCUAGGGUUUCGCCCAUAGGAGGAGCGCAGGCGUCGCGGCGGGAGGUGGCAUCAAUGAGGCAUCACGGAGGAUUGAGGAGAGGGAGGGGGUCGUCAGGCCUCACAUAUAGGCCGCGCCAUCACCUGGUGCCCCGCCGUCGUCGCUUGAGGGAAAGGGAGGGAGGGAGGGAGGAGGAGGAAGAAGAAGAAGAAGAAGAAGAAGAAGAAGAAGAGGAGGAGGAGGAGGAGGAGGAGGAGGAGGGCGGCCGCGGCGCGCCGCUCGCACCCAUCGCCGUCGCGGUCGCCCCUGGUGGCGGCGUCAGGAGGAGGGAGGAGUGAAGAGAGAAGGGACGGGAGAGAGAGCCCGAGAUUUUUUUUUCCGUGGAAGAGGGACGUGGCCGAUUUGUGUCCACAGGAGGAAGAGGCUGAGGUGGACCAACGGGAGGAGGAGGAGGAGGUGAGGUGGCGCUGAGAUGGCCCAAUCAGAGAAUUUUGUAGGGUUUGGCGCAUCCGGCAUGACAGCUAGGGUUUCGCCCAUAGGAGGAGCGCAGGCGUCGCGGCGGGAGGUGGCAUCAAUGAGGCAUCACGGAGGAUUGAGGAGAGGGAGGGGGUCGUCAGGCCUCACAUAUAGGCCGCGCCAUCACCUGGUGCCCCGCCGUCGUCGCUUGAGGGAAAGGGAGGGAGGGAAGAAGAAGAAGAAGAAGAAGAAGAAGAAGAAGAAGAAGAAGAAGAAGAAGAAGAGGAGGAGGAGGAGGAGGAGGAGGAGGAGGAGGGCGGCCGCGGCGCGCCGCUCGCGCCCAUCGCCGUCGCGGUCACCCCUGGUGGCGGCGUCAGGAGGAG